CGAAAUCGGUAGACGCUACGGACUUAUCCGUUGG
rnacentral:tRNA from 4 species